UACAGAGGGGGGCAAGCGUUGUUCGGAAUUACUGGGCGUAAAGGGCGCGUAGGCGGCCCGCUAAGUCGAACGUGAAAUCCCCCGGGCUCAACCCGGGAACUGCGUCCGAUACUGGUGGGCUCGAAUCCGGGAGAGGGAUGCGGAAUUCCAGGUGUAGCGGUGAAAUGCGUAGAUAUCUGGAGGAACACCGGUGGCGAAGGCGGCAUCCUGGACCGGUAUUGACGCUGAGGCGCGAAAGCCAGGGGAGCAAACGGGG
rnacentral:rRNA from 1 species